rnacentral:rRNA from 1 species
GUAGGUGGCAAGCGUUGUCCGGAAUUAUUGGGGCGUAAAGCGCGCGCAGGCGGUUCGUUUAAGUCUGAUGUGAAAGCCCACGGGCUCAACCGUGGGAGGGUCAUUGGAAACUGGAGAACUUGAGUACAGAAGAGGAAAGCGGAAUUCCACGUGUAGCGGUGAAAUGCGCAGAGAUGUGGAGGAACACCAGUGGCGAAGGCGGCUUUCUGGUCUGUAACUGACGCUGAGGCGCGAAAGCGUGGGGAGCAAACAGGAUUAGAUACCCUGGUAGUCCACGCCGUAAACGAUGAGUGCUAAGUGUUAGGGGGUUUCCGCCCCUUAGUGCUGCAGCUAACGCAUUAAGCACUCCGCCUGGGGAGUACGGCCGCAAAGGCUGA